UACGGGAGGCAGCAGUGGGGAAUUUUCCGCAAUGGGCGAAAGCCUGACGGAGCAAUACCGCGUGAGGGAGGAAGGCUCUUGGGUUGUAAACCUCUUUUCUCAGGGAAGAAGCUCUGACGGUACCUGAGGAAUCAGCAUCGGCUAACUCCGUGCCAGCAGCCGCGGUAAUACNGGAGGAUGCAAGCGUUAUCCGGAAUGAUUGGGCGUAAAGCGUCCGCAGGUGGCGAUUCAAGUCUGCUGUCAAAGGUCGGGGCUCAACCCUGAACAGGCGGUGGAAACUGAACAGCUAGAGUGCGGUAGGGGUAGAGGGAAUUCCCGGUGUAGCGGUGAAAUGCGUAGAGAUCGGGAAGAACACCAGUGGCGAAAGCGCUCUACUAGGCCUGCACUGACACUCAGGGGACNAAAGCUAGGGGAGCGAAUGGGAUUAGAUACCCCAGUAGUCCUAGCCNGUAAACGAUGGAUACUAGGCGUGGCUUGUAUCGACCCGAGCCGUGCCGGAGCUAACGCGUUAAGUAUCCCGCCUGGGGAGUACGCACGCAAGUGUGAAACUCAAAAAAAUUGACGG
rnacentral:rRNA from 1 species